GAUGAAGAACGUAGCGAAAUGCGAUAACUAGUGUGAAUUGCAGAUUUCAGUGAAUCAUCGAGUCUUUGAACGCACAUUGCACCUCUCGGUAUUCCGGGAGGUAUGCCUGUUCGAGCGUCAUUUGUACCCUCAAGCUCUGCUUGGUGUUGGGUGUUUGUUCCGCCUCUGUGUGUGAACUCGCCUCAAAACAAUUGGCAGCCGGCGUACUUGUUUCGGAGCGCAGCACAUUUUGCGAUCCAGAUCAACGUACAGCGGCAUCCAAGAAGCCUUAUUUAACGCUCUUGACCUCGGAUCAGGUAGGGAUACCCGCUGAACUUAAGCAUAUCAAUAAGCGGAGGA
rnacentral:misc_RNA from 1 species